AGCAACGUGUGAGGGUCCCAGCCCAGAGCAGGAGCCUCAUAUCCACCCUGGGAAGGUCCUGGCAGGGGUGUGCUGUGCUGUGGGGCAGGCUCAGAGGACACUCUCCUUGCAGGUCCCGCUGAGGCUCCGGGGACGGCCACGCUCCAGCCGUCGGGCAGAGAGGAGGCGCCGAAGGGACGAGCUGGAGCUCAGGGCCUCUUGGGAUGUUCCAGCAACUGCUGAAGUGACUCAGGGGCAAAGCCAAAGGUCUUGCAACACUCAGGAUCAAACCACUCCGAGGUGGCACCGAGGGCGAAGGGGCUGGGUGAGGGUAGUGCCACGGGACGCUCCUGACACCACGGGCCUCACCUCAGGGAAACACGGCCCAGAGCACCGAGCUAAACCCUCCAAGCGAUUACAGCUGUGAGUGACGGCUCCUCCAAGCCAAGCGCCUCCAGGG